rnacentral:pre_miRNA from 14 species
CCCCAGACAAUCCAUGGGUCCUCCUGUCCUUCAUUCCACCGGAGUCUGUCUUAUGCCAACCAGAUUUCAGUGGAGUGAAGCUCAGGAGGCAUGGAGCUGC